ensembl:snRNA U6 U6 spliceosomal RNA
AUACAUCAGCAGCAAAUACACUAAAGCUGGAAUAAUACAGAGGAAAUCAGCAUGGCCUUGUGCAAGGAUGACAUGCAAAUUCAUGAACUGUUCCAUAUUUCU